rnacentral:ncRNA from 1 species
CUCUUAUCAAGAGCUGGCGGAGGGACUGGCCCGAUGAAGCCCGGCAACCGGCCUGUGGGAACCCAGGUACGGUGCCAAUUCCUGCAGGAUUUUCCUGGCAGAUGAGAG